UAUUGCCUCGGCCAUGCAUAUACUAAAAUCAAAACGAUACAGGGAAGGUUAUCAUGGUCCCGGCACAUGGAUAACACUCAAAUUCGUGAAUCAUUCCAUUACUUU